GGAGCCGUGCCCUUUUCUGAAGGGAAACAGAAGAAAGGUGGAUCUCGUGGAGAGGAGAGACUCACUUCCAAUGGAUAUUCACUAUCAGAAAAAUGAUAAGAGAUAUGCUACUUACAUCUGAGAUCU